rnacentral:rRNA from 1 species
GACGAACGCUGGCGGCGUGCUUAACACAUGCAAGUCGAACGGAAAGGCCCUGCUUUUGUGGGGUGCUCGAUUGGCGAACGGGUGAGUAACACGUGAGUAACCUGCCCUUGACUUUGGGAUAACUUCAGGAAACUGGGGCUAAUACCGGAUAGGAUCUCCUGCUGCAUGUUGGGGGUUGGAAAGUUUCGGCGGUUGGGGAUGGACUCGCGGCUUAUCAGCUUGUUGGUGGGGUAGUGGCUUACCAAGGCUUUGACGGGUAGCCGGCCUGAGAGGGUGACCGGCCACAUUGGGACUGAGAUACGGCCCAGAAUCCUACGGGAGGCAGAAGUGGGGAAUAUUGCACAAUGGGCGGAAGCCUGAUGCAGCAACGCCGCGUGCGGGAUGACGGCCUUCGGGUUGUAAACCGCUUUCGCCUGUGACGAAGCGUGAGUGACGGUAAUGGGUAAAGAAGCACCGGCUAACUACGUG